GGGAAAUGUAUUCAAUCAGAUUACAAAAGUCAUUAUAUGGCUUAAAACAAUCAGGAUGCAUGUGGUAUAAUCGCCUCAGUGAGUACUUGAUAAAAUAAGGUUAUAAACGAUGUCAUUUGUCUUUGUAUAUUUAUUGAGAAAACAACAUUGGAGUUUGUUAUUCUUGCUGUUUAUGUUGAUGAUAUUAAUCUCAUUGGAACUCCAGAAGAGGUUCAAAAGGCAAUUGAAUAUCUAAAGAAAGAAUUUGAGAUGAAAGACCUUGGAAAGAAAAAAAAAUUGUCUUGGACUACAAAUAGAAUAUUUAGUAGACGGGGUCUUCAUCCAUCAAUCUGCCUAUAGUGAGAAAAUCUUGAAACGAUUUUACAUGGACAAAGCACAUCCAUUGAGUACUCCAAUGGUUGUCCGAUCACUUGAAGUGGGUAAGGAUCCAUUCCGACCUCAAGAAGAGAAUGAGGAACCUCUUGGUCCAGAAGUACCUUAUCUUAGUGCGAUUGGGGCACUUAUGUAUCUUGCUAAUGCUACGAGACCUGACAUAGAAUUUUCUGUUAAUUUGUUAGCAAGAUAUAGUUUUUCCCCUACACGAAGACAUUGAAAUGGAGUUAAACAUAUAUUGCGAUAUCAAAGAGGAACUAGUGAUAUGGGUCUGUUUUAUAUUAACAAAGAUAGUGCAGAUCUUGUUGGUCAUGCAGAUGCAGGUUAUUUAUCUGACCCACAUAAAGCUCGAUCACAAACAGGCUUGCUAUUCACAUACGGAGGUACUGCUAUAUCAUGGCGAUCUACGAAGCAGUCUAUUGUCGCUACUUCUUCAAAUCAUGCUGAGAUAAUAGUCAUUCAUGAAACAAGUAGAGAAUGUGUAUGGUUAAGAUCAGUAAUACAUUUUAUCAAAAAAAGAUGUGAUUUGAAGUGUGACUUCAAGAUACCCACAGCUCUUUGAAGACAAUGUUGCAUGCGUAGCUCAAUUAAGAUGAGGUUUUAUAAAAGGAGAUAGAACGAAACACAUUUCACCAAAAUUGUUCUUUGCACAUGAUCUCCAGAAGAAUGGUGAUAUUGAUGUGUGACAAAUUCGUAAGAGUGAUAAUCCAGCAGAUUUAUUUACCAAAUCUUUACCGGCCUCAACUAUUGAGAAGAUGGUUCACAAAAUUGGAAUGUGAAAACUUAACCAUCUAAAUCGUGGUUUUAAUCAGGGAGAGUAAAAUACGCACUGUACUCUUUUUUCCUUAGUAUAGGUUUUGUCCCACUGGGUUUUCCUAAAAAGGUUUUUAAUGAGGCAGCAAAUAAUGUGUAUUAUAUAUAUCGAUGUACUUUCUUUUGCAUAGAUAUCCAAGGAGGAGUGUUGUAAAACAUUUUAGAGUGCCACGUGGGCCCCAACAAUUAGAAUAGUUGCAUCACUAGUAAUUGUGUACAAACCUAUUAUGCAUGCCAAAUGGAACCUUUCCAUUAGUAAUGUUUCAUCACUUGGCCAAUUAGAAGGUCAUGUUAUACAUUUAUACAUUAGUUCAUGGCUAUAAAUAGCCACUAUAUGAAAUGAAUACAUAUAUACAUUUUUGAAAUAUAUUACUUCCUCACUUUUCUUUCUUUUAGUAUAUUAAUCUUAGUAAGUUCUUUUAUAACAUUAAACACAUUAUAUAACAGAUAAAUUGAAAAUCAAAGUUGAACUAGAGAGUUAUUGCAUAAUCAAAAAUCCUCUCAAGGCCAAAGGUUUACUUAUUUACAUCAUUAUUAUACAAAGACUACUCAUAUAAUUUGAAUUUCACUUAUUUACAACAUGUCACUUUGUCUGUUGGAUAAUGUGUUUGACUGAUAUACACAUGUCCACUAAGAUAUCAUACUUGGUUCAGCAACUAUGUAUAUCCACUAAGAUAUCAUACUUGGUUCAGCAACUAUGUUUCAAGCUUGUGAAAUGAACCUACCACAAAUUUCUUGUGUCAUUGACCAAAAGCCUAAGGCCUUGUGUGUUGAGAAUUCUAUAUACAUUUCAAUUAGCCAAACUGAAGAUUCAACUCAAUGUAAAUCACUUUAACAUAUUAACAUUCACUAGAAAACUAUCAAAAAGUACACAUAAAUAGAUCCUACAAACACCAACCUAACUAAGAAAAAAAAGGAAAAAAGAAGGGGAUCAGAAAACAACUAAAUCAAUCAAUCAAACUAGAUCAAUGUAUCAUAUAAAACAACUAGAUCAAUAUAGCGAUUAGAUGUUACACUGAUUAGAGAUACCUAUCAAACGAUUUACCGUCAUCAGCAGAUUUCGAUGCCUCGACAACCUAUCAAACCCAGAAACUGGGUUGAACAGAAAAACAGACAAAAAGCUUACAAUCGAUUCACGAUUGUAAACCCAAACAAAAAGCUUGAACUCAAACAUGCAUGAAUUGAGAUUGGGAAAAACAGACAACUAGCUUACAUUUGAUUCACGAUUCACAAUAAAAGUAGAAUUUCUCACACAAUAUUUGAGAGAGAAGUUUGAGAGUUUACCAUAUCUCCUUCAAUGUGCGAUUUAUGAGAGAACAAUCUUCUUCACUGUGAAAUCUGGGGAAUAUUAAGAGCUAAUUACCAAGAAAUUUGGGGAAAUAUUGGGAGCUAAUUAUGGAAGAGAUUCGAAGAAAUUUGGGUAUAUUGAGAGCUAAUUAGUUGAAAGUUCUGGGUGCUCAUAUUUUUGGCAGACCAAUUGAAAUCUUAGCUGGUAGCUAAUUAAGUUCAUUUUGUUCACUUUGGAAAUCUUAGAGAUAAAAGGAAAAUAUAUAUUUGAAAUUUGUUUAACAAAGAGAGAGAAGUAUAAUUAUUUUUUAAUGAAGGAAGAAAGAUAAAAAAAUUCAAUUAAUCAAGGAAAAGAAAUAAAGUUUGUGUGUAUAAAUAUUUUUAUUUAAUAGUUCAUAUUUCAAGAAAAUAUUAAAUUUAUUAGGAAAAUUUUAAAAUUUAGAAAAUAUUAGUG
rnacentral:lncRNA from 1 species